rnacentral:tRNA from 1 species
GGGGAUAUAGCUCAGUUGGUAGAGUGCUUGUCUUGCAUGCAGAAGGCCUUGGGUUCAUUCUCCAGUACCACCA